UCACUAUUCCUGGCACAGUUCAAAGCACUGUAAAUCUGCUAACUAAUCUAAUCCUCAUAAAACACUAAGGUGAUCAUUAUUCUCACUCUACAGACGAAGAAACUGAUGCACGCAGCAGUUACAUGAUUCACCCAGUCACACGGCUUGCAAGCGGCAGAGCAGGAAUCCGAGCCCGGGCCCUUGACUUCUGUGUCCCAUCAGCUCUCACUUUGUUGUCGGUGCCUGCCUAUCUCAGACAUUAGUCAGUAAGCCCUUGAAGGCAAGAACUGUCUUUUUAUCCUCAUUCCUGAGCCCUAAGCACCAUGUCUAGGACACAGUGUAUGCUCAAUAACUAUCUACUGAAUAAAGGCACGGGUAACUGGAGGGGGGAGAAGCCAGAGGAAGGCCAUGCUGUUUAAACCUCUCAGACCUCAAACUGGUCAUGAAUUUUUUCCUCUGCUUUUACUCAAGAUAUUAAACAGCCACGAAACAGAUCAUUGAUUCCAACCUACUCCAUCCUCUGAUGGACUUUGAGCAACCAGCCCUCCCAAAGGCAGUCCUAGCUCCGAGGACCUGAGAUAGAGCUCCCGGGUAACUGGCCUGAGGUGUGACUUCAGUCUCCCAGGUUCCCCACAAAAACUGGACAUCUGACCCGCAGCUUCGAAGCUGAUGUGCUGAGGUGGAAUCAAAUAGUGAGGACUUCCCAGAACAUCCGAGUGAAUCAGCUGCUCAAGUUGGGACAGAGCCAGAACAUGCGCCCACAAAGGGUGGCAAGUUGCAAAUUGAGGUCUAAUAGGAGCCAUCUGGUCUGGAGAAAUGGCCAACGGGAGGGAUGGGGGCCUGGAAACGGCCCAGAGAGCUAACUUAUCUGGGGGUAAAUGAUGAGUCAGCUCUGCCCAGAAAUGAAAGUGUUUAAUGAAGUCCUUUGCAAGAGGCCCCACAGAAUCUCUUCUUGGGGUAGCCAGAGUUGGGUAAUGCCAUCUAAAGCCUCUUCCUGGCAGCAGCUGCCGAGGCUCUUGCCAAAACGCCGCUUCACCAACACCCUGACACAGAAGCCCCAAGUCAGCGAGGGGGAGGUUCGGCUGGCCCCAGCAGCUGUGAGGCUUCCCAACACCCAGACAGGGCACAGGAGCACCACGUCGGCAGCUUCCAAGCGGUUCUCUCCCAUGAGCCCCCUUGGCCUCCACAUCUGGACAGAUGGCCACCUGGAAUUGCACCAGAAAAUGACACAAUGGCAAUCAACAGCCACUUGCCCUAACUGCCACCCCCAUCCCAGGAAGUGAGGAGGCCUUUGAAGGCCUGUCUCUGCUUGUAGAGGGAGCUCCAAGGACAAGAGGCUGCUCCCUCCUGAAGGAGGUCCCGAGCUGCUGAGGCUCUCUCUGGACUUGCACAAUAGUGAGUCAGCUUCCAGAUCCCCAGUAGCCUCAGGGGCCUGGACUCAAGUGAGCCAGGAGUGGGGGAAACCAGGCGGCCAUCUCCUCUGCCUCCAACCUUGCAGCCCCAGGGGAAGAAGGACCAGUGCCUGGAAGGCUGGAGAAGGUGAGAAGGGGACAAGAGCAAAGGAGAGAAACUGGGUGAGAGCACAAUGACGCAUGGAGAGAGUGACAAUGGAGCGAGAGGCUGGUAGAGCUGGGGGACCACGGCUCCCAGAGCUGACUGGGGAAGGAGACAGGGCAGGCACCUCAUCAGUCAUUCUUUCCCCACCUGUCCUGCCACAUUCACCCAGUGCGUUCAGCUGUUUCAGCUUGGUAGGUCUCCCUUUCUCCCUUCACUUACUGCCAUGAAGGCUGUGGUUAUCAGUGUCCUGGUUCCUGCAGCCCCGGUGGCCACACGAAGCUCCGAGGCCAGUCCCCUCACCCUGUGGCCUCUAGAAGGAAUAAAGUCAAGAUGGGGUGGGAGGACCUUCCUCACCAUGUUUCUAGUCGUCACCACCCACUCCAAUGCCCUCUUUCCCAGCCAGUCAUUCUAGGCCUCUCUGCCACUAAGAUCACCAUAUUCCAGGUACCCCAAUCUCCCCAGGGAAAG
rnacentral:lncRNA from 1 species